CUAGAGCCUAAAUGUUAGCAAUUAAGGUUAGGAGUUAGAAGUUAAAAGAAAAGCGUUUCGACGCUUAACACUUAACCUAUAAUCCUUAACUGAAUCGCACUUUUAGGAAAAAAGACGAAGAUUAUUUUGGAAAGAAUCCCAAGAUUUAAUUACUCUCGCUGUUAGUUCAAAUAAUACGCGUAAGACCGUUAUGAUGACGGUUUUAUUUUUAAGUAAAAAGAGUGUCUCGUAGCUCAGCUGGUUAGAGUACUACACUGAUAAUGUAGGGGUCGACAGUUCGAGUCUGUCCGAGACAACUAUUUAGCUUAAAAAAAGGAAAUUCUAGAAGUUGGAAUUCACCAAGAGAAAUUAGACAUUCAGUUUAGAAAUCUAAAAUCUGAAUUCAAAAAUCUAAAAUUGAAACGGGGGAUUAGCUCAGCUGGCUAGAGCGCCUGCCUUGCACGCAGGAGGUCAACGGUUCGACUCCGUUAUUCUCCACAAGAUGCUGAAAUAAAUUCAGCAUAAAAGUUCAUUGACAUAUUGAGAUAAAAAUAUUUAAAAAGUAGAAAGCAGUUUUUUCUAAUUUAUUAGAGAAAACGAAAAAAAACGGUCUUAAUUAAAUUUAAGAUUGGUA
rnacentral:tRNA from 1 species